rnacentral:misc_RNA from 1 species
AAGCUACAGAUCAAGAAGCGGUGGACAUUCCAAUCGUCGAUCUUCAUCCUAUCAUCGCACUUUUAAGGAUAACAGCAGCUAUGACAAAAGAUGAACUGGUUGUGAAUAUUAUCAUUGGAUCAUCCUCAUAACUGUAUUAUUCCCUAAAAUCAGUGUGCUUAGUGGAUUGAACAGGAUACUUUUAAUUUCAUUUUUAUAUCACUGUAUUUGCAAGAGUAAUUUGAAUGCAAAUUUUUAAACAUCGUAUGAAUAAAAGCAAUUCAUGAUC